rnacentral:rRNA from 1 species
UACAGAGGGUGCGAGCGUUAAUCGGAAUUACUGGGCGUAAAGCGCACGUAGGCGGCUUGGUGUGUCGGGUGUGAAAUCCCCGGGCUCAACCUGGGAACUGCAUCCGAAACUGCCUUGCUAGAGUAUGGGAGAGGGAAGUGGAAUUUCCGGUGUAGCGGUGAAAUGCGUAGAUAUCGGAAGGAACAUCAGUGGCGAAGGCGACUUCCUGGACCAAUACUGACGCUCAGGUGCGAAAGCGUGGGGAGCAAACAGG